CAACUGUAACAGAAAGAAAAAGCAAACACAUAAAACAUAUUUGUUAUCUUAAGUAGUGGAAUUUUCUAAUUUAGGCAGUUCAAAGUAAUUUAAAAAUCAUAUAUAAGAUUUAGUUGCAAUGAUGAUUUAAAACAUUCUUCAAACCACAGUCCACCAAUCUCUCUCCCUCCCUCCCUCUCUCUCUUGCUCUCUCUCCCCCCCUCUUUCUCUCUCUCUCCCCUCCCGUGCAUGUACUGACACACUCCUCACCUAAAAAUGAGAUGUGUAAAUCUUUACUGUGGGAUUGAAUGGUACUUUGCAACUGAGCCAACACUUUGGUCUUGUAUCUGAGUAACCAUGGAGACAGAAGCUUGUGUUUAGUGCGAUGAAAAGAGAGUGGAUGAAGAGGGAAUGAAAGUGGCAGGGACUGAACAAUUUAAGAUGCUGUCAUGUGAAGAAGCUGAGAAAGAGGAACGAAGUGAACUUGAAGGUCAUGGAAGAGACAAAAAGUAAUGUUAACACAGGGAAUUGUUGAACAGCUUUUCAUAUCUCUCUCUCUCUCUCUCUCUCUCUCUCUCUCUCUCUCUCUCUCACACACACAGAAAACACACAGACACCCCAUGUAAAACUAAGGAACGAAUGCCAGAGGAAAAGGUUUUCACCUCCUCACCUAUCAUGAGACGUCUAAAUCUUUACUGCGGGAUUGAAUGGUACUUUGGUAUUGAGCUGACACUUUCUACUUGUAUUUGCGUAACCAUGGAGACAGAGCGUCUGUUUAGUGCAAUGAAGAAAAAGUGGGUGAAGGAUGAAUGAAAGCAGCAGGCACCGAAUAAUUUAAGAUGGGGACAUGCGAAGAAGCAGAGAAAGGAAAGAACUGAACUUGAAGGUCAAAGAAGAGAGAAAAAUUAACUUUAAACAGGGAAGUCUUGAAAAGCUUCCCACUUGGUGAACAUCUGUUCAAACUGUUCCGAAGUUGUACCUGUCAUGUCCGACAGAGUCUCCAGUUCUCGGGCAGCCGAAGGCCCCAGAGCGAUGGUGUGGAUGAUGGCACCGCUGCGAGAGACGGCCUCAAAGCAGGAACGUAUUCCAUUAUCUUCCCCAUCUGUCAGCAAUACGAUCUCAGAACCGGAAGUGCUCUGGUCACUGGAGGUAAUUGCCUGUGAAAAGCAGGGUGCUAAUUACAUGCUGUCACUGCUGAUAAACUUAAGAAUGCACAUCUUUUUAAUAUUCUCUUUCUUAGCUGACUUGAUGAUACACGGAAAUGGGCAAGCAUUAGACUUCUCAGCAUUUUUAAUCCUCCAGAGAUAGACAUGUUGGCUACUCAGUAGAGGACGAACAAAUCUCCAAUAACGAUUUCUGGCAUACAGUAGCUACCAAAUGAAUAAAAAUUAUGUAUGAAUGUAAA